rnacentral:rRNA from 1 species
CGAGAGUUUGAUCCUGGCUCAGAGUGAACGCUGGCGGCAGGCCUAAUACAUGCAAGUCGAACGGCAGCACAGCAGAGCUUGCUCUGUGGGUGGCGAGUGGCGGACGGGUGAGGAAUACAUGGGAAUCUGCCCAGUCGUGGGGGAUAACGUAGGGAAACUUACGCUAAUACCGCAUGCGCCCUUCGGGGGAAAGCCGGGGGGCCUUCGGGCCUGGCGCGAUUGGAUGAGCCCAUGUCGGAUUAGCUAGUUGGCGGGGUAAUGGCCCACCAAGGCGACGAUCCGUAGCUGGUCUGAGAGGAUGAUCAGCCACACUGGAACUGAGACACGGUCCAGACUCCUACGGGAGGCAGCAGUAGGGAAUAUUGGACAAUGGGCGCAAGCCUGAUCCAGCCAUGCCGCGUGAGUGAAGAAGGCCCUCGGGUUGUAAAGCUCUUUUGUCCGGAAAGAAAAGCGCCGGGUUAAUACCCUAGUGUCCUGACGGUACCGGAAGAAUAAGCACCGGCUAACUUCGUG